GUCCAUCUCAAGUUGUGAGACAAAGAAGGAGACAGAGCUGCUGGAAAGGCUGGCCAUUGUGGAGUCUCGUGGAAAGGUUUCCUCUCCUGCAUUAUGGCCUUUUCCCUGAUAUAGUCACAGCACUGGUCUGGAGAGAAAGCUGGAUCCUGUGCAAAUAACUAGAGCGCAGCUAAGGGGAAGUAAAACGUGCUACUGAGGCAGGAAACGUCGGCACGUCACACAGCCUAUGCUGGACAGUCAAGGAGGGAUGUGUGAAAAGAAGCUUGUGUCUCCAGUAAAUGCAACCCAACAAGGUGGAAACCACUACCAUCACUGUUUUACUGAUGAAGAAAAACUGGGGUUCUAGGAGGACAAAUAGCUCGGUGAAGCCUGGGGAGCAGCGGUCCCAAAGCUCUGAUUCCUACACGUUUUCCUGCUGAGUCACACCGGCUGCUGAGACGUCGCCAGAGGACCUGACAGCCCCUUUAGGACUUGGACUCUAUUCUGCAUUGCUGGACGAUAAGCAGCUUUUUUCGUAUCAGUUCUUAAGAAAUGUGCAGCUUACACUGAUUAAAGGUAGGAUACACAUUUGGAAUUGAGGGCAAAACAGAAGAAUCGACUUCUUCUGAUUUCUAAUCACUGCUGGUCAAUGGAGUGCAUCCUUUCUCGGAUCAAGUCUCAGGCAGUCCUGUUCCACGGGUGGCAGUACCUACAGUUUUCUCACGUUCCUCUGCCUCCCUCUAGUGACGCGAGGAAGCCAGGGACAUCGUGAGCACUGUGCAGCCCCGAGGGUGGCUCUCAUACCUAAAGUGAUCACUCACCUCCGUGCCGGAACAUCUAGUUUCCAGCAAUUUGCAGACGGUAAACACCCAGAGGCAGAGCCGGGGCGGAGGGGGGGCUCAGCUUCUCCAGGACACUGUAAUCAAACCCACACUGAGGAAUUUGCUGCCAGCCACUUCGUCAAAACCAGACAAGGCUGCCUCCUGGGCGAUGCCUUCUACUUGGAAACCAGGACAGGAGGCAAGGGGUUCUAGCAUGUUCUCUUUACAGAAGGAUCCAAGCGGCUUGAGUGUACCAUCUGAUACCCUGAGUCUGGCUUAGCAUCCAGUUCUCCAUCACUGCUCUGCUGCCCUCAGAGCUGCCCAGGGUCACUGGACCACCCAGCUCACUGCUGACAUUAGGGGGAGUCUCAGAUGGGACCUUUGAUAGCCACAGAAAAGGCUUCUCACCACGCUAGUGGCUUGAGCGAAGCUGGGAGAGGUAAUAUAUGGAUAUUUCAUAUAGAAUACCGGCGAUUUUUAUCUGUGGACAUCUUAUUAUUGCACCCAGCGCACUGUAUUGCAAUCCAGUGUUUAUCUCCCCGAGUGGAAUGGAAACAGCUAUAGGGCUUGAAUUAUGCAAAUUUAUUUUUGUGUCCUCAGUGCCUGGGACAUGAUUGGUGUUCAGUAACUGCUUGAAUGAA
ensembl:lncRNA